UGGGGAAUAUUGGACAAUGGGCGCAAGCCUGAUCCAGCCAUGCCGCGUGAGUGAUGAAGGCCUUUAGGGUUGUAAAGCUCUUUCGCCGACGAAGAUAAUGACGGUAGUCGGAGAAGAAGCCUCGGCUAACUUCGUGCCAGCAGCCGCGGUAAUACGAAGGGGGCUAGCGUUGUUCGGAAUCACUGGGCGUAAAGCGCACGUAGGCGGAUUGUUAAGUCAGGGUGAAAGCCUGGAGCUCAACUCCAGAACUGCCCUUGAUACUGGCAAUCUCGAGUCCGGAAGAGGUAAGUGGAACUCGAGUGUAGAGGUGAAAUUCGUAGAUAUUCGCAAGAGCACCAGUGGCGAAGGCGGCUUACUGGUCCGGUACUGACGCUGAGGUGCGAAA
rnacentral:rRNA from 1 species